rnacentral:lncRNA from 1 species
CUAAGAGGGGUAUUUAGUGAAGGCAGCACAAUGACACCACACAACAUUGUAACAUGAUUUUACUCGUUGUCUUUCCAAUCUGUGUUUUGUUUCAAAAAAUGAAUCGUUGGUUACCAAUAAAACUUGGCCAGCCAAUGCCAUUAAACAUAAGAAGUAAAUUAAGAGCAAAAUUGAAAUUGUCUUUACUUUAAUCAGUAAAAUUACAGAACAAUGUGUCUUUAAUUUCAAUGCGUAGCUUCUAAACAUCGCACUUCAUCCCAACUAUAUUAUAUAUUCAUGUGUUGUUGCUGCUAUAAACUAUGUAACACUGGUGUCGUCCUCCUUCGAGAAAUAGAGUGAAGUAAAACGGAAGCAGAAGAUAGAGCAGAAACUCCAAACCCGUGUAGUUGAUUUAGUUCCUGGGCAGAGUUAUUGACGAGAUUGGUGAUAUCAGCAAGAGGGAGUCUCUUCAUCUUCCUCUUGAAAGAUUGCUGCGCCAUGAGAGGAAUUGGGUUCUUCUUCGUUUCCAACUUGGUGCAACCUGGAGGAAUGUUCUCUUUGUUGCUCUCACCGUGUCUGAGUGUGAAGGUACCCACCAUUGCUAACUAACACAAAUUUCUAGGAAGCACCUCGCAGGUUGUGAAAGUGAAAGGAUAGUGGUGAAACGAGGUAUUUAAACAUUGUUGGUUGUUUGAAAUUGGAGGGAGAAUGAAAGAGAAGGAGGGCGUGCGAAAAAGAAUUCAGAAAUUUUGGAGCCAUUGUUCUUCUUCUUUUGGAUUUGGUGGCGG